rnacentral:ncRNA from 1 species
ACGUUCACUUCGCAAUCGCUGCGAAGCGCAGUUCGACUCAGGCCAUGGAACGGGGACCUGA